GGUGAACGCUGGCGGCGUGCCUAAUACAUGCAAGUCGAGCGAACGGACGAGAAGCGUGCUUCUCUGAUGUUAGCGGCGGACGGGUGGGUAACAAGUGGAUAACCUACCUAUAAGACGGGGAUAACUUCGGGAAACCGGAGCUAAUACCGGAUGAUAUUUUGAACCGCAUGGUUCAAAAGUGAAAGACGGUCUUGCUGACACUUAUAGAUGGAUCCGCGCUGCAUUAGCUAGUUGGUAAGGUAACGGCUUACCAAGGCGACGAUGCAUAGCUGACCUGAGAGGGUGAUCGGCCACACUGGAACUGAGACACGGUCCAGACUCCUACGGGAGGCAGCAGUGGGGAAUAUUGCACAAAGGGCGAAAGCCUGAUCGAGCAACGCCGCGUGGGUGAAGAAGGUCUUCGGAUUGUAAAACUCUGUUAUUAGGGAAGAAAAUAUGUGUAAUAAUCUGUGGAUAUCUUGACGGUACCUAAACAGAAAGCACCGGCUAACUACGUG
rnacentral:rRNA from 1 species